rnacentral:misc_RNA from 1 species
CUGCACAAGUGGUUGCUUCAAAAACGAACACACGCUGUCGACUUUCUUUACUUCCUUCAUCGAUUCUCACGUUGCGUGGGUCCAUCACUACGGGCACCACAAGGUCGCGCGCACUCCAGCGUUGUGUUCGCUCCGCAUUCGCCACGUCGACCUCGCCGAGAGGUUAUCUUUGCCCUUCACGCGUGCUUAUUGUUGCCUCCCUCUUGCGACUCGCCUCUUCGCCCCCAACAGAAAAAAGGGAAGAACUACUGCAGCGUCAUGUACACGGAGAGGGACUCCUACGCACCUACCAAGGUCAUGACGGAAGAAGAGCUGCAGCGCAGCGUAGAUCGUCUCAGCCGUAGUAAUCGGCUCACGGUCGAGCUGAAGCCUCUUGCACCGCGCAGCAUCAUCACCAAGGAGGCUCUCGACAAGCGUAUUCAUCACCUGUACGACGAGUCUCUGGAGCGGCGGCAGCGUGAGCGUGAGGAGGUGGCGCGGCAGAUGGACGCUGCGAUCAAGAAGGACGCCACCAUUACCGUGACCAAGAUUACCCCUCUCCAGGAGGAGGCUCUUGUGCGCCACCUCUACGACGAGACGCUGGCUACCAAAAAGAGAAACUUCGACGAGCUUUACAAGCAAUCGACCUCACACUACGAGCGCAACACUAUAAAACUGACGGCCAAGAAGCAGUUGGCCGCGAUGGACCGGCUCUACCGCGAGGGGAUGGAGCGAGAACGUAAUAAGCACAUUGCUCUGUACGAGAAGUACGUUGUAGCUCGUCAGCCGCCGCCACCGCGGCGCACAGCAGCUGAGCUAGCGGCAUCUGCCGACAAGAUGACGAGGGGGGAGGGUUUGACUUCUUGACACGUGUGUGUGCACCCGCACAGCGCACCGACACAGCGAGCCACUUUUACCACUGGCCCAGCAUGCAUGUUUCAUCUCCAGCUCAUGCUGCUCCCCCCUUCCCCCAAAUCAGCUUCUUCUGACUUAUCAUGCUGCACGGUGCUGCUCGAUUUCUUUGCCUCGGCCUUUGCUGCCUCUUGAUGUUUAUGCAAGUUUUACUUACGCUGACGGCUUUUUUGUGCAAUGUAUUCCAGUGAAGGGCCGACUUGGACAGUGAACACAUACGUCGGCCAAACGGCGCCUUCCUCUUGCGAUCUCCUCUGCUUCCACAGCUCCUCCCCUUCUUUUUCCACAGCCAAUCAGUGCACCUCGGAUGCCGUCUGCACGAUUUUUCCUUCUCGCUCUCUUCAAGGGUUUUCAUGUGUGCUUUCCUUUUUUGUUGUUUUGGCUCGGCUUUGUAUUUUGCCAAGACGGCCAGCGCUGGUGGAAGGCACCGGUCUCGGGCGCAUGUGCUUGGUUGCUUGAUUUGGAUGGGGCUCGCAAUCCUCUUUGCCCAGUUGUUCUGGGCGUUUUUCUUCAUGCGUUCACUAGAAUUCUCAGUUGCGCCUUCCUCCCGUUGUUGUGUGCUAGAAUCAGUUCCACCCAUGCAAAACCUCCCCUUCGCGCCUCCACCAAGUGCGACCGGCAAUGCGGAGGGGCAGGUGAUCCAGCACUCUCGGGCCUAUCGAGCAGAUCCAUUUGUACAGCUCCUUUUGUACUGCCGUGCGUAAUGAGUCUUGAUGUAAGCGACGCGGCCGCACACAACCACCUGAUCGAAUUCACGGGGUAUCUGGGUGCUGCUGUUGACGAAGCCGACUCUCUUCUCUACAGCUUUCCUGUUUUCUCUCUACUCUCGGCUCUCUCACGCUGUUGAAGGAACGG